rnacentral:rRNA from 1 species
AUGAACGCUGGCGGCGUGCCUAAUCCAUGCAAGUCGAGCGAACGGACGAGAAGCUUGCUUUUCUGAUGUUAGCGGCGGACGGGUGAGUAACACGUGGAUAACCUACCUAUAAGACUGGGAUAACUUCGGGAAACCGGAGCUAAUACCGGAUAAUAUUUUGAACCGCCUGGUUCAAAAGUGAAAGACGGUCUUGCUGUCACUUAUAGAUGGAUCCGCGCUGCAUUAGCUAGUUGGUAAGGUAACGGCUUACCAAGGCAACGAUGCAUAGCCGACCUGAGAGGGUGAUCGGCCACACUGGAACUGAGACACGGUCCAGACUCCUACGGGAGGCAGCAGUAGGGAAUCUUCCGCAAUGGGCGAAAGCCUGACGGAGCAACGCCGCGUGAGUGAUGAAGGUCUUCGGAUCGUAAAACUCUGUUAUUAGGGAAGAACAUAUGUGUAAGUAACUGUGCACAUCUUGACGGUACCUAAUCAGAAAGCCACGGCUAACUACGUG